UGCACACUUCACACCAUUGGACAAAUUCAAAGUUUACUUCAGCUAAAAUCUUCUUUCUUUCGUUCACACAAAUUAUCCUUGCAAGAAAAAGAACUCAAGCUUAAGAGAUUACAACAUCCAAAACUAUUCAAGGCUUUGUGACCAGGGGGAUUAGCGCUGCUUUCCCAAGACAGGUUUAUAAGUGAUUAUGAUCUUCAGGCUUUGCCUAACCAGGUUGGCUGGCCGGUGCUGACGGGACGGAGCUGAGGCUAGGGUUAAAUUCCUAUUUUAGACUUCCGCUGUAGCAAUUACUCAUAUCAGUCUUUUGUUUUUCCAACUUAAGAUCUUCAUGUUAAAUUUCAAAUGAUAUACCUGACCGAGCUUAGACUAUUCACUACUAAAUUUAUGCCAAUGAAUGUCGGUUGUCAGAAGCAUGAAACAAAACUUGUGAUCCAAAGGGGCAUAGCCCGACUCUCUAUCUUAUUAUUCGGGUUUUAACAAGGUUGUUCCUUGUUUAUUUCUAUGAAUUAGUUGUACCUCGAUUAUAUUUAUUCAUUCAAGAAUUGGGGUGUGACAGAAUGGUAUCAGAGCAUGAGUUUUCUUUCAUGACUCUGAUAACCAUAAGCUUUUGAUGUUAAGUCUAGAAUAGUAUCUCUAGACUUCUAAGAAUGUCAGAAGCCCUCAGCUCGCCGUCACACUGCCGCAACUAAGGUACGAUAAUAGUUUCAAAAAUAUAUAUGUAUAUUCAAAGUUAUGAAAAUUUUCAUGAAAAUGUGCGCCUUAUGUUUAUGAUGUUAUGUGAAUGCUUUUUGUCGUGUUUGGGACUACCCGAACCCAUAACGACUCAAUGAAUGUAUUUCGUGUUUGGGACAACCCGAGCCCUUAACGAAUCAUUGUAUGUAUGUAUGUAUGGUCGAGUUAGAUUCCUUGAAUCUUUCCGGCAUAAGCAAAGUUUUUCAUGAAAGGGACAUUUAAUGUCCAUAUGACUCAAAAUUUCAAAGAAAGCAAAUAUAUGUAUGUAUGUAUGUAUGAAUGAAUGAUGAGAAAGCUUUAUGUUAUCAUUUUAGCUUCACUGCCUAUAUGAUUAGAAUGAUGAGUUCUUUUACAAACCGUUUGAGAACCACCCAAGAAUGUCUUAAGAAUGUUAGUCGUGAUAACACCGCUAGAACGGCAUAGAAUGGAUUUAUA